UCGGUUUUAAGGAUGUUUGUAGCCAAAACCUGACAGAGAACAACAUCCAAAUAGCGCAGUACAUCAAUACGUCUAAGCUUGCUACUUGUGAAUCUAAUUAUUUCUCAAUAAAUCAUAAAAUUAUUGAUAGACAUGCCGGGCACAGUAGAGCAUCGCUCAGCUACAUGGUUAAUAAAAACUUUACGCAAUAUCGGCCGGGGAAGAAAAGUUGUGCUACCGCAUAGAUAUGCUGAUGAACAAGCUGAGCGUACUCAACCACCACCAAAUGUACCAGGAGGUCCAUAUCAUAAAACUUCUGAAAUCUACUACUAUACUCAUGAUGCUAGACGAGAAGUAAAACCACCAUUAGUAAUUAGCACAGCAAAAAAAAUGCAGCAAAUUAGUACAAAAAGUGAACCCUCUGCAAAAACAUUUGUAACUCCAGGAAAACUUUAUAAAUGGGAUUAACACCAGAGUUAAAUUAACAACAGUGGCUGUUAUAUUGCAAGUCGUUAGUGUAAUAUUGUUUAAUGAAAAAACUGCUGUUUUAACCAAUAAAACAUUCUGUGAGAAGAAAGGUUUUCAAAUAAGCCACCUGCUUAAAGUAAUUUAAUUUAAUCUUUAACCAUUAACAGCGCAUAAGUUAGUAAACAGGAAUGUGUUCAUAUACAGAUGUGCUGCAUAAGGCAGGCACUUUGUAUGUAUAUGUAUAUAUAAGUAAUUUCGUAGAUAAAUAUAAUACAUUAUUACAUA